rnacentral:rRNA from 1 species
AUUGAACGCUGGCGGCAGGCCUAACACAUGCAAGUCGAACGAGUGGCGGACGGGUUAGUAAUGACUGGGAAACUGCACGAGGGAGGGGGAUAACUACUGGAAACGGUAGCUAAUAACGCAUCCCAUCGGAUGUGCCCAGAUGGGAUUGGCUAGUAGGCUGGGUAACGGCUCACUUAGGCGACGAUCCCUAGGUGGUCGGAGAGGAUGACAAGCCCAACGGGAACUGAGACACGGUCCAGACUCCUACGGGAGGCAGCCGUGGGGAAUAUUGCACAAUGGGCGCAAGCCUGAUGCAGCCAUGCCGCGUGUAUGAAGAAGGCCUUCGGGUUGUAAAGUACUUUCAGCGAGGAGGCGUUACUCGCAGAAGAAGCACCGGCUAACUCCGUGCCAGCCGCCGCGGUAAUAC